UGAGGAAUAUUGGUCAAUGGGCGAGAGCCUGAACCAGCCAAGUAGCGUGAAGGAUGAAGGUCCUAUGGAUUGUAAACUUCUUUUAUAAGGGAAUAAAACGCUCCACGUGUGGAGCCUUGUAUGUACCUUAUGAAUAAGCAUCGGCUAACUCCGUGCCAGCAGCCGCGGUAAUACGGAGGAUGCGAGCGUUAUCCGGAUUUAUUGGGUUUAAAGGGAGCGCAGACGGGAUGUUAAGUCAGCUGUGAAAGUUUGCGGCUCAACCGUAAAAUUGCAGUUGAUACUGGCGUUCUUGAGUGCAGUUGAGGUGUGCGGAAUUCGUGGUGUAGCGGUGAAAUGCUUAGAUAUCACGAAGAACUCCGAUUGCGAAGGCAGCUCACUAAACUGUAACUGACGUUCAUGCUCGAAAGUGUGGGUAUCAAACAGG
rnacentral:rRNA from 1 species